rnacentral:rRNA from 1 species
GACGAACCACACAAACGUUAUUCGGAAUUACUGGGCUUAAAGGGUGCGUAGGCUGCGCAGCAAGUUGGGUGUGAAAUCCCUCGGCUUAACCGGGGAACUGCGUCUGAUACUGGAUGGCUUGAGUUUGGGAGAGGGAUGCGGAAUUCCAGGUGUAGCGGUGAAAUGCGUAGAUAUCUGGAGGAACACCGGUGGCGAAGGCGGCAUCCUGGACCAACACUGACGCUGAGUGAGCGAAAGCCAGGGGAGCAAACGGG